rnacentral:rRNA from 1 species
UACGUAGGGAGCAAGCGUUGUCCGGAAUCAUUGGGCGUAAAGCGCGCGUAGGCGGCCCUGUAAGUCCGUUGUGAAAGUCAAAGGCUCAACCCUGGAACGCCGGUGGAUACUGUCGGGCUAGAGUCCGGAAGAGGCGAGUGGAAUUCUUGGUGUAGCGGUGGAAUGCGCAGAUAUCAGGAGGAACACCGAUGGCGAAGGCAGCUCGCUGGGACGGUACUGACGCUGAGGCGCGAAAGCGUGGGGAGCGAACAGG